ACCGCCCGUCACACCAUGGGAGUUGGUUUCACCCGAAGGCGCUGCGCUAACCCGCAAGGGAGGCAGGCGACCACGGUGGGAUCAGCGACUGGGGUG
rnacentral:rRNA from 1 species